rnacentral:guide_RNA from 1 species
AAAACCACAAAGGUAGAAGAUCGUAAUAGAGAUAGAAUAAUAUUAAUAG